rnacentral:misc_RNA from 1 species
GGUAACUAACCUCAACAUUGUUAAAAGAGGUUUAAGACUUGCAUGGUAACUAGGAUAAUCCCAUUCCGAGGAGGCUCUUCAGCAGCUCCAAGUGUUUGUAGCAGCUCUAAAGCAUAUAAACUUAGAAGAUAUUUGGCAACUGCUUUGCUACUUGCAGUGAAUUGGCACCUCAAGCUAGAUCAUUUGCUGAAGGAAACAAAUAUGCAGAAUGCCAAGAUGGGAUUGAGAUCAGCAUCUUUU